UACAGAGGGGGCAAGCGUUGUUCGGAAUUACUGGGCGUAAAGGGCGCGUAGGCGGCCUGCUAAGUCGAACGUGAAAUCCCCGGGCUCAACCCGGGAACUGCGUCCGAUACUGGUUGGCUUGAAUCCGGGAGAGGGAUGCGGAAUUCCAGGUGUAGCGGUGAAAUGCGUAGAUAUCUGGAGGAGCACCGGUGGCGAAGGCGGCAUCCUGGACCGGCAUUGACGCUGGGGCGCGAAAGCCAGGGGAGCAAACGGG
rnacentral:rRNA from 1 species